rnacentral:rRNA from 1 species
GAAACUCAGGCUAAUACCGCAUAAUCUCUACGGAGGAAAGCCUUCGGGCGCUAUUGGAUGAGCCUAUUUCUGAUUAGCUUGUUGGUGAGGUAAAAGCUCACCAAGGCGACGAUCAGUAGCUGGUUUGAGAGAACGAUCAGCCACACUGGGACUGAGACACGGCCCAGACUCCUACGGGAGGCAGCAGUGGGGAAUAUUGGACAAUGGGCGAAAGCCUGAUCCAGCAAUGCCGCGUGUGUGAAGAAGGCCUGCGGGUUGUAAAGCACUUUCAGUAGGGAAGAUAAUGACGGUACCUACAGAAGAAGCACCGGCUAACUCCGUGCCAGCAGCCGCGGUAAUACGGGGGGUGCAGGCGUUAAUCGGAAUUACUGGGCGUAAAGCGCGCGUAGGCGGCUAGAUAAGUCGGAUGUGAAAUCCCCGGGCUCAACCUGGGAAUUGCAUUCGAUACUGUCUGGCUAGAGUAUGGUAGAGGGAAGUGGAAUUUCAGGUGUAGCGGUGAAAUGCGUAGAUAUCUGAAGGAACAUCAGUGGCGAAGGCGACUUCCUGGACCAAUACUGACGCUGAGGUGCGAAAGCGUGGGGAGCAAA